ACUUCUCCUCCGCACAUGCCCGAACCACCUCAGCCUCGCUUUUCGCAUCUUCUCAUCCACCGGGGCCAUCCCCACCUUCUCUCGAAUAACUUCAUUCUUAAUCUUAUCUAAGAAACUCUACAGCUGAUAUCCUUGUUUUCGUUCUGCAACUACGCUCUCUUUUCUCUCUCUCUCUCCUCACUUUAGCAGUACAUCUCACAACGGUAACAACCGUCUUCUCCGGCAACUCAUCGGCAAACCAGUGCCGCCGGUUCCGAUCCAGGAAAGUCCCACUCCUCUUUCUCUCUCCUCUCUCUCUCCCCGCGUCCCCUCCUCUCACUCUCCGUUUUUUUUCUUCUCCUUUCUCUCUCCUCCCACCUCU
rnacentral:lncRNA from 1 species